UUUUUAUUUUUAAUUUUUUUUUUUAAAUCUAUAUUUUAACAUACAUUUCUAUAAUAAUUUUGCAGUUAUUUUCUCUAAGAUGUCAGUUUCUCCGAUAAGCUCUUCACAGUUGGACUUAAAUAUAAAUUUCAGCAGUUAUGAACCUUAUUAGACUUUUCCUGUGGACCUCUUGAUAAAUCAAAAUCAGACACUUUAGCCUCUAAAUAAGUCAAAGUCUCACCUAAUCAAUUGUUGAAGAUCACAAUUAAGAAAAAUGAGAUAACAGCAUUUAAUUUGAGAAGAAAAAAUUUUUACCCAGAUAGAAAGGGCAAUCAUGAAUGCUUUGAAUUAAGUACAAAGACAUUUUCAUCAACAUCACACGUUCACCAUCAGUGCAUUCAAAUCCUAAUAAAUGACUCCCAUUGAGCAAUUGUGAUCAUUGGAUUUGACUACUUUAAUUAAUUAAACAUGUGUUUCUUCAUUUUCCAUGAAGAUGACAUUUGUAUUUAAGUUUCAAUUAGAUCCAAUUAUAU
rnacentral:misc_RNA from 1 species